rnacentral:rRNA from 1 species
AUUGAACGCUGGCGGCAGGCCUAACACAUGCAAGUCGAGCGGCAGCGGAAAGUAGCUUGCUACUUUGCCGGCGAGCGGCGGACGGGUGAGUAAUGUCUGGGAAACUGCCUGAUGGAGGGGGAUAACUACUGGAAACGGUAGCUAAUACCGCAUAACGUCGCAAGACCAAAGAGGGGGACCUUCGGGCCUCUUGCCAUCAGAUGUGCCCAGAUGGGAUUAGCUAGGAGGUGGGGUAACGGCUCACCUAGGCGACGAUCCCUAGCUGGUCUGAGGGGAUGACCGGCCACACUGGAACUGAGACACGGUCCAGACUCCUACGGGAGGCAGCAGUGGGGAAUAUUGCACAAUGGGCGCAAGCCUGAUGCAGCCAUGCCGCGUGUAUGAAGAAGGCCUUCGGGUUGUAAAGUACUUUCAGCGGGGAGGAAGGUGCUGAGGUUAAUAACCUCAGCAAUUGACGUUACCCGCAGAAGAAGCACCGGCUAACUCCGUGCCAGCAGCCGCCGCCGUAA